GAAUCAAUUUCAGCAAAGCUGCUGUUCUCCCUAGAACUUGUGGUGUCAAUAUUCCUUACAAGAUCAGCCCUUCCACUGACUGCUCCAAGGUCCGCUAAGGAGGUUGAUCAAUAGUCAAUUUGGUCGAAGAAUAAGAUGUGGCCGUCUUUGAUACUGCUUAUAUAUAGAUCCAUUUUUAUUUUGUAUCCCUAGUUUAUAUAUAUAUAGAGAGAGAGAAGGGCACUUAUGCAUGCUAAAAUUUUGAUUACACUUGUGAUUAAUAUUAAUCCAGUUGGGGUGUGAAUUGUAUUGGCAAUAAGUAUAUUUACGAAUAAAAAAUUCUGCUAUUAAUUCAAUGAA